CUGGCUUCUCGACUUUUUGGCUAAGAUCAAGUGUAGUAUCUGUUCUUAUCAGUUUAAUAUCUCAUUAAAGGUACAUAAUAAUUGACAAUUGACUGAUAGAAAACUAU
rnacentral:snRNA from 1 species